rnacentral:tRNA from 1 species
UGGGGCUGGGGCUCAGUGGUAGAGUGCUUGCCUAGCAUGUGCAAAAGCACUGCGUUCGAUUCUCAGCACCAUAA